rnacentral:rRNA from 1 species
GACGAACGCUGGCGGCGUGCCUAAUACAUGCAAGUUGAGCGCUGAAGGUUGGUACUUGUACCAACUGGAUGAGCAGCGAACGGGUGAGUAACGCGUGGGGAAUCUGCCUUUGAGCGGGGGACAACAUUUGGAAACGAAUGCUAAUACCGCAUAAAAACUUUAAACACAAGUUUUAAGUUUGAAAGAUGCAAUUGCAUCACUCAAAGAUGAUCCCGCGUUGUAUUAGCUAGUUGGUGAGGUAAAGGCUCACCAAGGCGAUGAUACAUAGCCGACCUGGGAGGGUGGUCGGCCCCUUUGGGCCUGCGACCCCCCCCAACCCCCUCCGGGGGGCAGCAGUGGGGAUUCUUCGGAAAGGGCCGAAAGUCUGCCCGCGAACCGCCGUGGGGGGAAAGAGGGUUUUCGGAUCUUAAACCUCUGUUGGUGGAGAAGACCGUGGGUGGGAGGGGAAACCUCAUCACGUGACGUUAACUACCCAGAAGGGGACGCCUACCCCCGUC